rnacentral:rRNA from 1 species
GGGCUCACACAAGCGGUGGAGGAUGUGGCUUAAUUCGAGGCUACGCGAAGAACCUUAUCCUGGUCUUGACAUGUUUUAGAACACUCCCGAAAAGGAGUGGUGCCCGCAAGGGAGCUAUUGCACAGGUGCUGCAUGGCUGUCGUCAGCUCGUGUCGUGAGAUGUCGGGUUAAGUCCCUUAACGAGCGAAACCCUUGUCCUUAGUUGCCAGCGAGUAAAGUCGGGGACUCUAAGGAGACUGCCGGUGUUAAACCGGAGGAAGGUGGGGAUGACGUCAAGUCCUCAUGGCCCUUAUGACCAGGGCUGCACACGUCCUACAAUGGCGCGUACAAAGCGAUGCAAACUCGCAAGAGCCAGCAAAUCGCAUAAAGCGCGCCUCAGUUCGGAUUGCAGGCUGCAACUCGCCUGCAUGAAGCUGGAAUCGCUAGUAAUCGCGGGUCAGCACACCGCGGUGAAUGUGUUCCUGAGCCUU